ACUCAAAUGAAUUGACGGGGGCCCGCACAAGCGGUGGAGCGUGUGGCUUAAUUCGAUGCUAAACGAGGAACCUUACCUAGGUUAGAAAUCCAACUGUAUAUCGUCAGAAAAGGCGAUAGCUUCGAGAUCGUUGGACAGGUGCUGCAUGGUUGCCGUCAGCUCGUGUUGUGAAAUGUUCCCUUCAGUGGGGUAACGAGCGCAACCCUUAUCGUGUGUUGAUUUUCACACGAGACUGCCGUGGUUAACACGGAGGAAGGUGGGGACGACGUCAAAUCAGCAUGGCCCUCUGACACCUAGGGCUGCACACGCGCUACAAUGGAUAGGACAAUGAGAUGCAACUACGCGAGUAGAAGGAAUCUUUUAAACCUAUCCUCAGUUCGGAUUGGAGUCUGCAAUUCGACUCCAUGAAGCUGGAAUCGCUAGUAACCGUAAAUCAGCUCGUUACGGUGAAUACGUUCUCGGGCUUUGUACACACCGCCCGU
rnacentral:rRNA from 1 species